ACCUCAACCUCAACCUCAACCUCAGUCACAGCCUCAGAAUGAAAUUGGAGAAGAGGAUGAAGAACUACAACGAGCAUUGGCAGCCUCUAUGGUAGGUAUAGAAGAUUCCGGUUCAGUUGCCUCUAAAGAGACUAAUGAAGCCGCCAGUGAUGUUGUAAAAGAGGAGAACUUGAUAAAGAAGCCUUCUUAUCCUCCUCUACCUGAAGAACCCAAGGGUGAAAGGAACCUUCUCUGCAGAGUUGCAAUUCGCUUUCCUGAUGGACGCAGGCUUCAAAGGAAUUUCUUACGAACCGACUCAAUUAAGCUGCUAUGGUCCUUCUGUUCUACUCAGUUUGAGGAAGCUGAGUCGAGGCCAUUCAAAUUCACCCAAGCAAUUCCAGGUGUAUCAAAGUUUUUGGAGUUCGAUAACAACAUGACCUUUGAGGAAUCCGGUCUUGCCAAUUCAAUUAUUUCAUUCACUUGGGAGUGAGCAAUGGGUUUUAGUCAUAGUUACUACUCAGUAAGGUUGUCGAUGUAAGAGGGCAUGUUCCUACUGCGCGGGUACUUUCAGCGUUAUCUACUCAUUUAAGAAAAAGAGAACAAAAAAAAAGUUACUUUCUUUGCUGUUAUUUUACUUUCAAAUAUAGUAUCUUGGCUUUGAAAUUGUAUAAGAUGGUAUGAAGUUUGUACAUUUUGCUAAACAUGUACAUAAAAUUAUGAUUAGUUCUUG
rnacentral:misc_RNA from 1 species